UGCAGUCGAGCGGUAAGGCCCUUCGGGGUACACGAGCGGCGAACGGGUGAGUAACACGUGAGCAACCUGCCCCUGACUCCGGGAUAAGCGGUGGAAACGCCGUCUAAUACCGGAUACGACCCUCCACCUCAUGGUGGUGGGUGGAAAGUUUUUCGGUCGGGGAUGGGCUCGCGGCCUAUCAGCUUGUUGGUGGGGUAACGGCCUACCAAGGCGAUUACGGGUAGCCGGCCUGAGAGGGCGACCGGCCACACUGGGACUGAGACACGGCCCAGACUCCUGCGGGAGGCAGCAGUGGGGAAUAUUGCGCAAUGGGCGAAAGCCUGACGCAGCGACGCCGCGUGGGGGAUGACGGCCUUCGGGUUGUAAACCUCUUUUACCACUCACGCAGGCUCCACGUUUUCGUGGGGUUGACGGUAGGUGGGGAAUAAGGACCGGCUAACUACGUGCCAGCAGCCGCGGUAAUACGUAGGGUCCGAGCGUUGUCCGGAAUUAUUGGGCGUAAAGAGCUCGUAGGCGGCGUGUCGCGUCUGCUGUGAAAGACCGGGGCUUAACCCCGGUUCUGCAGUGGAUACGGGCAUGCUAGAGGUAGGUAGGGGAGACUGGAAUUCCUGGUGUAGCGGUGAAAUGCGCAGAUAUCAGGAGGAACACCGGUGGCGAAGGCGGGUCUCUGGGCCUUACCUGACGCUGAGGAGCGAAAGCAUGGGGAGCGAACAGGAUUAGAUACCCUGGUAGUCCAUGCCGU
rnacentral:rRNA from 1 species